UGUGGACCUCCCUCUCAUAAGUCAUUUUAUAUAUAUAUAUAUAGUAGGGCUACUAUACUCGUAUGAGUAUUGGACCCUUCGUACUCAUAAGUUGUUUUCGAUGAUGUGGCUUCCGAAUCGACGAUCCACUCCGUUAAAUAUGAUCUAGAGUAUUUAAAAUUUCUAAAAAAUAAAUUUCGUAAUUUUUCGAAAUCAUAAUAAAGUCCAUCAAACGAGCAUAAAAUGAACGGUCAAAAUCGAACGACGUCUUAAAAAUGGAUGAUCGGAUCCUUCAAUUUAAGAUCGGAGUUAUUGAUCUUUAUUUAGAUAGUGAAUAGAAUUUUCUAUCAAAAAUUCAACC
rnacentral:lncRNA from 1 species